rnacentral:rRNA from 1 species
UUUAUGGAGAGUUUGAUCCUGGCUCAGGAUGAACGCUGGCGGCGUGCCUAAUACAUGCAAGUCGAGCGAACGGACGAGAAGCUUGCUUCUCUGAUGUUAGCGGCGGACGGGUGAGUAACACGUGGAUAACCUACCUAUAAGACUGGGAUAACUUCGGGAAACCGGAGCUAAUACCGGAUAAUAUUUUGAACCGCAUGGUUCAAAAGUGAAAGACGGUCUUGCUGUCACUUAUAGAUGGAUCCGCGCUGCAUUAGCUAGUUGGUAAGGUAACGGCUUACCAAGGC